ACCCAAUCUCCAAAGCUGAUACCUGGGAUACCAUUGCGCGAGAGGAUCCAUAGCGAUUUAAAAUCUAAGAUAACAAAUUUGUUGGGUGCUGUAAAAUGAAUUAUGCUUACUAAACCAUUUGAUGUUGCUAUUAAGACCUGGGGUAGGUUUGUAGAGAUUCAUAGUUGAUCCGGUGAAAUUGCUGAUAGCUGCAAUUUUUCCCCGUGGUAAAACCUGUCUAUUAUAAUUCGUAUGUGCCAUAUUUUAGCUUAUAAUGGAAUGUAUUUUUUAACCAUCUCAUGAUAUACUUUUUGUUUGCAACUCAUUAAAGGUAUUUUUGGCAUACUGUAUUGGACAUGACGGGAUAAUACAAUGCACAACAUUUAGUUUCUUCUUCUUAUGUAUAUAAUCCAGUACUGCAGUACUAUGCUGUCCAUCCUACCAAGCAAGGCCUAAAUACUUUUCAUCUGUAACUUAAUAAAAUACCUUUUCACCAUGCAGACCAAAAUGGUUGACUUAUCCUUACUAUCUACUGCUGAGGUUGAUUGGCUCAAUGAUUACCAUCGCCAAACUUGGGAAAAGGUUUCACCGUUGGUGUCUGGUUCUGCACGUCAGUGGCUGUGGAACAAUACGAGGCCAGUGGGCAAGCCUUUGUACGGACUGGGCGCUUAAGGUUAUAGAAGGGUAUGUAACUUGUACACAGAAAUAACUAUGUAAGUUUCAAUACUGUGUCAUGCGAUUUGCUGGAAUGUUAAGGCUUCUUGCUCGUGCGAGUAAAUGAUUAAGUCAUGGCAAUUGGCAAGUCUACCUUUAUGCUCGUUGAAAACGCAGAAAAAAGAAAUGGCAAAACUGUUUAGUUAAUUUACUUAAUCUAUUUUGCUGCAAAAUCCUUUUUAUACCAAUUAUCAGUGCUCAACCCAAAAGACUUAAUUUUGACU